CUCAGGAGUAUGAUAGGCCCGGUU
rnacentral:miRNA from 1 species